GUGGGGGCUGCUUCUGCCUCCCGGGUCGUUCCGGCUGCCCGGGCCCCAGCCCCGCAGACCCGAUGCCCGCAGGCGGGCAGGCGGACCCACGGAGCGCCGGAGGCACCGACGGGGCGCCUGCGUGGGGACCCAGGUCCUGCCUGUCUUCCGUGGAGUCACGUCAGGCUCCUUUUAGGAUGGAGGCAUCAGGGCCCCAGCUACACCUGGAGUGGCAAGUGGCAAGGAUGUCUGCAGCAUUGCCGAUCUUUCCUGGGCUGGGGCCUGGCCAGCACAGCCUGGAUUCCAUUCUGACUGGACAGCGACUCCGCGUCUACUCCUUCAGUGAUGGGGGCGGGGCUGCAGGGUCCAAGGACACCUUAGGACUCUCCUCCUCAGUGAUGGCUGCUCCUGUCCCAUGGGCCUGCUGUGCUGUGCUUGCUGCCGCUGCCGCAGUUGUCUACGCCCAGAGACACAGUCCACAGGAGGCACCCCAUGUGCAGUACGAGCGCCUGGGCUCUGACGUGACACUGCCAUGUGGGACAGCAAACUGGGAUGCUGCGGUGACGUGGAGGGUAAAUGGGACAGACCUGGCCCCUGACCUGCUCAACGGCUCUCAGCUGGUGCUCCGUGGCCUGGAACUGGGCCACAGUGGUCUCUACGCCUGCUUCCACCGUGACUCCUGGCACCUGCGCCACCAAGUCCUGCUGCAUGUGGGCUUGCCGCCGCGGGAGCCUGUGCUCAGCUGCCGCUCCAACACUUACCCCAAGGGCUUCUACUGCAGCUGGCAUCUGCCCACCCCCACCUACAUUCCCAACACCUUCAAUGUGACUGUGCUGCAUGGCUCCAAAAUUAUGGUCUGUGAGAAGGACCCAGCCCUCAAGAACCGCUGCCACAUUCGCUACAUGCACCUGUUCUCCACCAUCAAGUACAAGGUCUCCAUAAGUGUCAGCAAUGCCCUGGGCCACAAUGCCACAGCUAUCACCUUUGACGAGUUCACCAUUGUGAAGCCUGAUCCUCCAGAAAAUGUGGUAGCCCGGCCAGUGCCCAGCAACCCUCGCCGGCUGGAGGUGACGUGGCAGACCCCCUCGACCUGGCCUGACCCUGAGUCUUUUCCUCUCAAGUUCUUUCUGCGCUACCGACCCCUCAUCCUGGACCAGUGGCAGCAUGUGGAGCUGUCCGACGGCACAGCACACACCAUCACAGAUGCCUACGCCGGGAAGGAGUACAUUAUCCAGGUGGCAGCCAAGGACAAUGAGAUCGGGACAUGGAGUGACUGGAGCGUGGCUGCCCACGCUACGCCCUGGACUGAGGAACCGCGACACCUCACCACGGAGGCCCAGGCUGCGGACCACGACCAGCACCACCAGCUCCCUGGCACCCCCACCUACCACGAAGAUCUGUGACCCUGGGGAGCUGGGCAGCGGCGGGGGACCCUCGGCACCCUUCUUGGUCAGCGUCCCCAUCACUCUGGCCCUGGCUGCCGCUGCCGCCACUGCCAGCAGUCUCUUGAUCUGAGCCCGGCACCCCAUGAGGACAUGCAGAGCACCUGCAGAGGAGCAGGAGGCCGGAGCUGAGCCUGCAGACCCCGGUUUCUAUUUUGCACACGGGCAGGAGGACCUUUUGCAUUCUCUUCAGACACAAUUUGUGGAGACCCCGGCGGGCCCGGGCCUGCCGGCCCCCAGCCCUGCCGCACCAAGCUGGCCCUCCUUCCUCCCUCAGGGGAGGUGGGCCAUGCAGCUAACCCACCCACCAAAGACCCCCUCACCCUGGCCCCUUGGGCUGGACCCUCCAAUGCCAGCGACUCCCAGGAGCCCUUGGGGGACGUGAGGGGAGCCUCUCACAUCCGAUUUCUCCUCCUGCCCCAGCCUCCUGUCUAUCCCAGGGUCUCUGUUGCCACCAUCAGAUUAUAAGCUCCUGAUGCUGGGGGGGCCCAGCCAUCCCCCUCCCCCCAGCACCCACACUUUUCAGUCCCCUCCCCUCUGCCCUGUUUUGUAUACCCCUCCCCUGACCCUGCUCCUAUCCCACAGUAUUUAAUGCCCUGUCAGUCCCUUCUAGUCUGACUCAAUGGUAACUUGCUGUAUUUGAAUUUUUUAUAGAUGUAUAUACAGGGUGGGGGGGGUGGGCGGUUCUCAUUAAACAUCACCAUUUCAUGA